GGUGGGGUUGAAUUAAUCGAGUUGUUGAUCUAUUAAUAAUUCGACUUAAAUCAAUUUCAAGCUCCGUGAAAACUAUAAGCAGGAGCUUUUUAACACCUCGCUGAUGUAAAAGGAGAGAUAUAGAAAGUGGUCAUUCAAUGGGCAUAUUCAGCUGAUAAAGCUGAUAAAGCUGAUUUAUUUGGGCUUUUCUCUGCUUGAGAUGGGACAGCCAGAAUCCCGAUUUUCUUCCUCAGGGCCUACAACCACCUGAAAGUUACAGAGAGCCCGAAGUUUUGGGCCGUCUAAUAAAAAGCUUGUGAAAACAAGAAAACUACCACUGCUUAGAAACCAUUGGUAGAUGCCGCCAGUCCACUCCAAUGUAUCUAUAGCCAGACUUGACAGUUUCACGACUACCGAAGAUUGAGUUUCCUUAUGCUAGCCGAACAACUGAUGAUUCUUAUGAGGAUGUUUAUUAAGUCAACAGAGAGCAUCCAUUGUUGAAAAUCAGAAGAAUUAAUGGUUAAAAAUCCCACUUAGCUUGGAUGGGGCCUAUCUGCAUUUCUUUUGUACCCAAAAUGGUUUAUGCAUGGGACCCUCCAUUCACAAUGACAAACAUGAUCCAUUCCACCCAUCUAGUGCUGGUAAUGUUGCUUUAAUAGUAAUUUCACUUUUGCUCGUGGAUCAACCAGUCAUUGUGCUAUAGCUGAUUUACUUAUUUGAUGUCCUCACAACUAAACCAUAUAUAUGCUGUUUAAAUCAUCUAUUCCUUUCUAACAUCCCUCAAUAUGCGAAUAUGAAGUUUGUAUUCUGGCUUUAGUGACAGCUCGAAUUAGUGUCAGGAAUUGCCUUGUUCUGCAGUAUAUGUUAAAAUAGUGUUUGGUUGCUGAAAGUGUUUGGUGAUUUUGUAGCUUGGAGAUGAGACUUACUGG